rnacentral:rRNA from 1 species
AUUGAACGCUGGCGGCAGGCUUAACACAUGCAAGUCGAGCGGGGGAAGGUAGCUUGCUACCGGACCUAGCGGCGGACGGGUGAGUAAUGCUUAGGAAUCUGCCUAUUAGUGGGGGACAACAUCUCGAAAGGGAUGCUAAUACCGCAUACGUCCUACGGGAGAAAGCAGGGGAUCUUCGGACCUUGCGCUAAUAGAUGAGCCUAAGUCGGAUUAGCUAGUUGGUGGGGUAAAGGCCUACCAAGGCGACGAUCUGUAGCGGGUCUGAGAGGAUGAUCCGCCACACUGGGACUGAGACACGGCCCAGACUCCUACGGGAGGCAGCAGUGGGGAAUAUUGGACAAUGGGGGGAACCCUGAUCCAGCCAUGCCGCGUGUGUGAAGAAGGCCUUAUGGUUGUAAAGCACUUUAAGCGAGGAGGAGGCUACUUUAGUUAAUACCUAGAGAUAGUGGACGUUACUCGCAGAAUAAGCACCGGCUAACUCUGUGCCAGCAGCCGCGGUAAUACAGAGGGUGCGAGCGUUAAUCGGAUUUACUGGGCGUAAAGCGUGCGUAGGCGGCUUAUUAAGUCGGAUGUGAAAUCCCCGAGCUUAACUUGGGAAUUGCAUUCGAUACUGGUGAGCUAGAGUAUGGGAGAGGAUGGUAGAAUUCCAGGUGUAGCGGUGAAAUGCGUAGAGAUCUGGGAGGAAUACCGAUGGCGAAGCAGCCAUCUGGCCUAAUACUGACGC